rnacentral:lncRNA from 1 species
GUGCUUCAUGAAGCUACUAUGUUAAUGAUGGUUUGGGGUAAACUUGAGUUUCAGAAUAAAGUUCAGAAUAGUAAAAUCUAAAGACUGUGUAAACAGAGCCCUUGUUUUGCUUAGAAGUACAUUUAAGGAUCGUCGUGUUGGACACUCGGUGUGACAGUUUCCCCUUAGAGGGACUGGAGAAGAAACAGAUUUCCAGAGUUGACCAGGAAUUAGUGCCUCACACUUAAUUACCUGCAUCAGUUUCUCACUAAUAGUUCUUAAAAUAAAAUUCUGUACUGAGUGUUUAAAAAAAAACUUUAAAAAUGUUCUUUUCAUGCCAUCAGAAACAGUUCUUUUCUUCCCAAAUAAAAUACAAGAAUUAUGGUCAGAGCUUAAGAGAGAAUUUACAGCUGAACAGAGCUGUUUUUAAAAUAUUUUUAAAGUGGGCAUCUUUUAAAAAAAAUCAGCAUCGGAGCUAUGGGAUGCCAUUGCUAAAAAUAAUUGAAUAAAGUUUCUUCCAGAGAUACAGGCUUCAAAUUAUAUUUUCAUACUAGUAAGUUUAUAAACUGGGUCUCACAAAUUUCCUCUUUCAUGC